UCUUCAUAUUUGUAUCUUAGCUCU
rnacentral:siRNA from 1 species